UGGCAGUGCCCCUUUAAAGCCCCAGAGGCUUGUGUGCCUUUCUUUUUCUUAAGAAGGGUCAGUGGGCUGUACUUGCCAUAAGCUGGGGAGAGGAGAUGUAGUGUGUUUGUCUGGGGGUUUGGAGGUGCACUUCCAGCCCCCAUCGAUUGGAAACCUCCACCCUACCAUCCUCGCUGGAUUGAGAGUUUUGGAUCAGUUCUGGAAGCGCAUCAGUAUCGGAGAAUCAGAUUGGCCAAGGAAGGAACCUGAGCCCCAGGUGCAUCAUGGGAGACCCGGCCCCCUGGCCCAUCCCCGCCUCUCUAAGGACAUCUUGGUGUGGACAGGACUGGACAGAAUGGAAGCCACAGCGCAGCCCCGAACCGGACCACCCGGUCUCACAGACAGUGGAGGAAGGACCAGCUACUCACCGGAUGCCAUGGACACUGAUAAACUGCACUGGCCCCACGGAGAGGAAAUUUGUUGACACGAGGCUGCUGCCCCCUGGCCACCCCCUUCCUGCCCCCUAGCCUGCAACUGUAUCCCCUCCUUCCAGACAGUGCCAUUUCCUUUGGGGGGAGUUGAGGGUCAAACACUGCAUCAUGGGUGCCAAAUCAAUCCCUUGCAACUCCAGGAGGGUAUGGAGGUGUGUGCAUGUGUGUGUGCCUCAUGCGUGGGAGCGAGGGCCGGGACCGGAGCAGGGUCAGAGGGGCCGCCGCUCCUGGGCCGGGUAAAGGGUUAUGGAAACAGGGGUCUAGAGUUUGGGGCCGGUACUCCGUGGGUGGAUCCGAGCGGGAGUGAGGUCGCACCGGGGCCCUUAAUUCUAUAGUCAGUGCGACAUCCUCCUUGCCUGUUCUGCCCUGUGGGAGUUUCCUGCCUAACUCAGGCUUCAAGAGUACAGACUCCCUUUCCCGUCCAGGGGGGUGCCCCU